CGAGGGGCGAUGGGGGUAUGUGGCGAGUGGGGCGGGGCCGAGAGGCGUGGGAACGAGGAGUGAGGCCAGGUGUAGUGAUUGGAGAUGAGCUACACCUGCGCCCCACCGCCAGUAUCGAGUCCCACGUAGGAGAUGGAAGGAUAUAAAACUGGAGCGACGACCGUGAAGGACGAGAGAGGACCAGGCCUGGGACAUUAUUUUAUGUGUUUGCUUUUUAUUUAUGUGCACCAGUCGGCCGUGAGGGGCUGGUGCGCUGUUUUGUAUUUAUUUUGAAUAUUAAAAUUAUGUUUUGAUUGUG